UAAAUUCACGUCUUACAGCAUUUUAUUGUUUCACAGUACAGACUCAACACUUUAUAACAAAUACAUUUGAGUUAGUUUUGCUUCAUCUAUGAAAACCCCAAAUUCUGCAAAAUAAACACCUGUAGAUAAGCAUGCCUUGCAGAAAUGGGUGUACAGAUUUGGUUUAGUUUCAGACCACUGUGCUCUGGCAAUCCAGUUUUCUUCGGCGAUGGCACAAAACUGUUUGUCAUAGACAAAAAUAUCACUAGGCCCACUGUCAAAAUCCUUCAGCCCUCGAAAAAGGAAAUCAAAGACAAAGGAAGAGCCACCUUAGUGUGUGUGAUCACAGGUUUCUAUCCCGAACACAUCACUGUUUCUUGGAAAGUCAGUGGACAGGACCGAACAAACUGGGUUAAGACAGAUGAUACAGCAAUCAAGGACAAAGAGGGAAAGUACAGCAUCACCAGCCGGCUGAGAGUCAGCGCGCUCGAGUGGUUCACUCCAAAGAAAAACUUCACCUGUGUCACCACUUUCUUCAAUGAAAGUGCCCCAGUAGAAAUAUCCAUCAAGGGAAAGGAGGGUUGUGGUGCAGUUGUAGAAACUUUAAGGUCGACACGCCUCACCUACCUGCUGUUCCUCGGCAAGAGCACUCUCUACGGACUUCUCCUCACAGUCCUUGUCUGGAAACUAAAGCUUACAUGUGAGAAAACCUUUGCCUAAACUGCAAGAUUGGAAGAAUUCAGAUAAAAGCUUUUGAAAUGGGACCCCUUUGCCUGUGUUGCGUUGAAAAGAGAAAUCAGAGCUGAUCCAAACUUUAUUAUGAGUAUUGUUGAUAGGACAAUCCUUGUGAUAUCUGCAAUAAACACAAUUCGCAUGAC